rnacentral:rRNA from 1 species
AUCUUCUUUGAAGGNAUGCUUAAGGAGGGGCUUGCGACACAUUAGUUAGUUGGCAGGGUAAAGGCCUACCAAGACUAUGAUGUGUAGCUGGACUGAGAGGUUGAACAGCCACAUUGGGACUGAGACACGGCCCAAACUCCUACGGGAGGCAGCAGUAGGGAAUUUUCGGCAAUGGAGGAAACUCUGACCGAGCAACGCCGCGUGAACGAUGAAGUACCUCGGUAUGUAAAGUUCUUUUAUUAAGGAAGAAAAAAGAGUGGAAAAACUCCCUUGACGGUACUUAAUGAAUAAGCCCCGGCUAAUUAUGUGCCAGCAGCCGCGGUAAUACAUAAGGGGCGAGCGUUAUCCGGAAUUAUUGGGCGUAAAGGGUGCGUAGGCGGUUUAAUAAGUCUAUAGUUUAAUUUCAGUGCUUAACGCUGUUGUGCUAUAGAAACUGUUUUACUAGAGUGAGAUAGAGGCAAGCGGAAUUCCAUGUGUAGCGGUAAAAUGCGUAAAUAUAUGGAGGAACACCAGAGGCGUAGGCGGCUUGCUGGGUCUUUACUGACGCUGAGGCACGAAAGCGUGGGGAGCAAACAGGAUUAGAUACCCUGGUAGUCCACGCCGUAAACGAUGAGUACUAAGUGUCGGGUAAAACUGGUACUGAAGUUAACACAUUAAGUACUCCGCCUGAGUAGUACGUACGCAAGUAUGAAACUUAAAGGAAUUGACGGGACUCCGCACAAGCGGUGGAUCAUGUUGUUUAAUUCGAAGAUACACGAAAAACCUUACCAGGUCUUGACA